AGUGAAUAGAUACCCGGGUAGUCCUAGCCGUAAACGAUACUCGCUAGGUGUCGGCCACGGUGCGACCGUUGUCGGUGCCGUAGGGAAAGCCGUGAAGCGAGCCACCUGGGAAGUACGGCCGCAAGGCUGAAACUUAAAGGAAUUGGCGGGGGAGCACCACAACGGGUGGAGCUUGCGGUUUAAUUGGAUUCAACGCCGGAAAUCUUACCGGGACCGACAGCAAUAUGAAGGCCAGGCUGAAGACUUUGCCGGAUUAGCUGAGAGGUGGUGCAUGGCCGUCGUCAGUUCGUACUGUGAAAGCAUCCUGUUAAGUCAGGCAACGAGCGAGACCCACGCCCACAGUUGCCAGCGUACUCUCUGGAGUGACGGGUACACUGUGGGGACCGCCGCUGCUAAAGCGGAGGAAGGAAUGGGCAACGGUAGGUCAGUAUGCCCCGAAUAUCCCGGGCUACACGCGAGCUACAAUGGUUGGUACAAUGGGUAUCUACCCCGAAAGGGACGGGAAUCUCCUAAAACCAAUCUUAGUUCGGAUUGAGGGCUGCAACUCGCCCUC
rnacentral:rRNA from 1 species